AAGUUUCAUAACCAAACCAUGAAUGUUUGUCAUCCUCACUCUUAUCUUUUAGAAUAUCUUGCAUAUAUUGCAUUAGAGCUUCCAUAUUCUUUUCAUUUUCCAAAAUUUUAGCUUAUAAAUGAGAAAAUAUCCCUUUAUUUGAAGCUAGCUUUUUGAAAGCAUAUAUGGUUUAUCUUUGUAGAUUUUCAAAAGAUCCUUGUAAUUGAGAAUAAGAUAAGUCAUGAGUAGUAUCAAGCUUAGAGUGACUUACAACCUUUUUCUUCUUCUU
rnacentral:lncRNA from 1 species